UGAUGUGUCCAUGAUAGAUGGGAGAGCACAUGGCUGCUAUUUUUUGACCUUGGCUAUCCCCAGUUGGAGCAGCGUUUUUGGAUCCGCUGUCAGCAAGAAAUAGGUCCUCACAGUGCUGGAUUCACAGGAACACCGAGCUUGGGCAGCACAUUCCUGUCUUCCCUAAUGGAACAUUGGGGCUCCACAUGGCUGGGAAAGAGGAUGAAGGAUGGCUAUGGUGUGCAACAGCUCCCACAGCUUUGUCUUCUCCAAAGAGAGUUCAAGGAGCAUAAACAUUUAAAGCAACUACAGAACUUGUGAAGUCAACUACAGGACUUGAGUGUGGUGAAUCCACACUCUUGAAUCUAACAGAGACAAAGCUGAAGCACUUCUUCAGGUGGUCUGGAAAAAAAGAAAACACAGAAAUGACUUGGUGCUUCAUGUUUUUGGUACCACGAGGGAUAUGUGAAGAGUUCUGUGACUGUUUUAGCCAUCUCACACUAGGCAGGAUGCAGGAACAUGACACUGGCUGAAUACUCUACAGAGGCAAAGGCAGAGCCUCUCCCCUCAACACCAGGAUGUGAUCUGCAGGAAGCAAAGGGAGGAGGCCCUGCUGGCACCCUGAGGUGUGGACAGAAGUGAUUCCUGCACUGGAGUGCUGAGCACUGCAACACUAGAGCAUCACGUGUGAGCUGGGCCGUCCAGGGAACAGAUGUGUGUCCUCUUGGGCUCCUUUCCUGCUGUGUUUUAUAGUUCUAGGAAGUGAUGGAGGUAGUGGGUAAAGCGAAGUGAAAUUCAGAUGUUCUGCUUGAGAGACGCGGCGAAGACUGAGGUUUCAAUUUACACUUUUUCUGAGUUUUCAGUAAACAGACAAAUCUAGUAACUGUAGAAACUUGGCUUCAGCUGUGAACAGACAUUUUUGUUUGCUUUCUGCUUUAAACAACAUACUUCCUCAUGGAGGAUGUUACUCAGCUCGGAUUUCCAUAAUUACUUAUGGAGCAUCCUACAGCUAGUCCUUACCAUCCUUUUUGCAGCAGGAUUUUUAACCCAGAUGGAAUCCCCUCAUCCACUGUUUGGCUGUGGCAUCUCAUGGGAAGUGUCUGAUCCAUGGGACAGGUGAGUUCAUCUACUUCUGUCACAGGGAGUGUCCUGGGGCCUAACCAGAAAGAGGUGAGGUGGUGACUUUUUGUAAUUCUACAUACUUCAUUUAGUUUGGAAAUGAGACAAAGUUUAGUGAGAGGUACCUCAUUAUCAGAACUCUGGAGUAAUUGUAGCAGAAUUGGUGGGUACGAUGGGUUGUCAGGAAAAAGGACUCUGGGUUUGUGCUGAGAUACCUGUCUGGCUGUGACUGCAUUUGGGAGCAGAGACCAGAAGGAGCCACCAGUGGGCAGUUUUAACUG
rnacentral:lncRNA from 1 species